CGUGAGUGAUGAAGGCUUUCGGGUCGUAAAGCUCUGUCAAGUGAGAAGAAACCACAUAAUGCUAAUAUCAUUAUGUGCUGACGGUACCACUGAAGGAAGCACCGGCUAACUCCGUGCCAGCAGCCGCGGUAAUACGGGGGGUGCAAGCGUUAUUCGGAAUUACUGGGCGUAAAGAGCGCGUAGGCGGUCUUUUAAGUCAGGUGUGAAAGCCCGGGGCUUAACCCCGGAAGUGCACUUGAAACUACAAGACUUGAGUAUGGGAGAGGGAAGUGGAAUUCCUGGUGUAGCGGUGAAAUGCGUAGAUAUCAGGAGGAACACCGGUGGCGAAGGCGACUUCCUGGACCAAUACUGACGCUGAGGCGCGAAGGCGUGGGGAGCAAACAGGAUUAGAUACCCUGGUAGUCCACGCAGUAAACGGUGAACACUAGGUGUAGCGGGUAUUGACCCCUGCUGUGCCGCAGCAAA
rnacentral:rRNA from 1 species